rnacentral:rRNA from 1 species
UUUAAUUUAUUAUAAUAAAUAAGUCCUGCUCAAUGAUAUUAUUAAAUAGCCGCAAAUUUUUUGUGCUAAGGUAGCAUAAUCAUUUGUUUUUUAAUUUAAAAACUAGAAUGAAAGGAUUUACAAUUAAUUUCUAUAAAUAUUUUUCUUAAUAAAUUUAUAUUAAAUAUAAAAAUAUAUUUAUAUAAAAAAAAGACGAUAAGACCCUAUUGAAUUUUACUUAUGUUUUACUGGGGCAGUAAAUUAAAUAAAAUUUUAAUUUAAAUAAAAUAUCCAAUAAUAUUGAUUUUAACAAAUUACCAUAGGGAUAACAGCGUUAUAUUCUUUUUAAGUUCAUAUUUAAAAGAAAUUUUGCGACCUCGAUGUUGAAUUAUUUUACUUUAAAAAGCAAAAAUUCUAAAAGUAAGUCUGUUCGACUUUUAAAAAAUUACA